rnacentral:lncRNA from 1 species
UUUGUAAUUUGGGCCCGUGCAAAUUGGGUUAUUACAGUUGCCCCUCUUUGCUUAUUUUUGUGUAACGGGAAUGAAGCAAAGACUUUUAAGAAGGACCAACUUUGCCCAGUUUCGCCAAAUCUCGACUCUACAAGUAGCCUCUCUUUAACCCACUACAAUUUCGGAGGAUAGAAUUCGUCGCUUCAACCUACUCCAUUGCAACUUUAGG